GAUGAACGCUGGCGGCGUGCCUAAUACAUGCAAGUCGAGCGAACAGACGAGGAGCUUGCUCCUUUGACGUUAGCGGCGGACGGGUGAGUAACACGUGGAUAACCUACCUAUAAGACUGGGAUAACUUCGGGAAACCGGAGCUAAUACCGGAUAACAUGUUGAACCGCAUGGUUCAACAGUGAAAGACGGUCUUGCUGUCACUUAUAGAUGGAUCCGCGCCGCAUUAGCUAGUUGGUAAGGUAACGGCUUACCAAGGCAACGAUGCGUAGCCGACCUGAGGGGGUGAUCGGCCACACUGGAACUGAGACACGGUCCAGACUCCGACGGGAGGCAGCAGUAGGGAAUCUUCCGCAAUGGGCGAAAGCCUGACGGAGCAACGCCGCGUGAGUGAAGAAGGUCUUCGGAUCGUAAAACUCUGUUAUUAGGGAAGAACAAAUGUGUAAGUAACGAUGCACGUCUUGACGGUACCUAAGCAGAAAGCCACGGCUAACUACGG
rnacentral:rRNA from 1 species